rnacentral:rRNA from 1 species
GACGAACGCUGGCGGCGUGCCUAAUACAUGCAAGUCGAACGCAGUGGGGACGGGUGCGUAACACGUGGGUAACCUCCCAUCAGAGGGGAUAACACUUGGAAACCGGUGCUACACCGCUCCUGAUGGAUGGACCCGCGGUGCAUUAGCUAGUUGGUGGGGUCACGGCUCACCAAGGCCACGCUGCAUAGCCGACCUGAGAGGGGGAUCCGCCACACUGGGACUGAGACACGGCCCAGACUCCGACGGUAGGCAGCAGUAGGGAAGCUUCGGCAAUGGACGAAAGUCUGACCGAGCAACGCCGCGUGAGGGAAGAAGGUUUUCGGAUCGUAAAACUCUUUUGUUAGAGAAGCGGUAUCUAACCAGAAAGCCACGGCUAACUACGUGCAAGCAGCCGCGGUAAUUC